CUAACAUUUCAUCACCCCGACUCCUCCGACUCACAUGUAAACAUUGUGCAAGUACAGCAGCCUGCUGGACCGGAGUUAAUGAUAUGUGUGUGCUUCGACUAUUCGAGUCAUUCACAUUUUCUGCAAGCAAAGGCGUUCUUAGUAUAUCACAAAAUUCAUCACUUUCACCAGGAACAGAGCUCCUCAUCUUUCUCAAAGCCACAACAUCAUCCGAAGCUCCUCUUUGUUCUGUUGUUUGCCCCUCAUC
rnacentral:lncRNA from 1 species